rnacentral:misc_RNA from 1 species
GGGGUACAGAUGUUUUCAGUAUGAAGAGAUGCAGAUGAGCUUUCCAGGUGUGGCCCCAUCCAUGGCUUCAGAGCUAUCUUAGUUUUUUUGAGGUGCAGCGCAUACUCAAAAUGAACGGACAAAAAGUAAUGUUUUUAUGUAUUUUCACAGUGAUAGUGUUAUUUAUUAUGAUUAUUUUUCUUGACGUGAAAAUGUAGAAAGAAUUAAAAUGGAAUCAGUUUUGUUUACUAUAUUG